rnacentral:tRNA from 1 species
AAUUUUAUAGUUUAAUAUUCAAAACAUUAGAUUGCAAAUCUAAUAAAAUAAUUAAUUAUUAUUAAAAUUU